CGCUGGCGGCAGGCCUAACACAUGCAAGUCGAGCGGAUGACGGGAGCUUGCUCCUUGAUUCAGCGGCGGACGGGUGAGUAAUGCCUAGGAAUCUGCCUGGUAGUGGGGGACAACGUUUCGAAAGGAACGCUAAUACCGCAUACGUCCUACGGGAGAAAGCAGGGGACCUUCGGGCCUUGCGCUAUCAGAUGAGCCUAGGUCGGAUUAGCUAGUUGGUGAGGUAAUGGCUCACCAAGGCGACGAUCCGUAACUGGUCUGAGAGGAUGAUCAGUCACACUGGAACUGAGACACGGUCCAGACUCCUACGGGAGGCAGCAGUGGGGAAUAUUGGACAAUGGGCGAAAGCCUGAUCCAGCCAUGCCGCGUGUGUGAAGAAGGUCUUCGGAUUGUAAAGCACUUUAAGUUGGGAGGAAGGGCAUUAACCUAAUACGUUAGUGUUUUGACGUUACCGACAGAAUAAGCACCGGCUAACUCUGUGCCAGCAGCCGCGGUAAUACAGAGGGUGCAAGCGUUAAUCGGAAUUACUGGGCGUAAAGCGCGCGUAGGUGGUUUGUUAAGUUGGAUGUGAAAGCCCCGGGCUCAACCUGGGAACUGCAUCCAAAACUGGCAAGCUAGAGUACGGUAGAGGGUGGUGGAAUUUCCUGUGUAGCGGUGAAAUGCGUAGAUAUAGGAAGGAACACCAGUGGCGAAGGCGACCACCUGGACUGAUACUGACACUGAGGUGCGAAAGCGUGGGGAGCAAACAGGAUUAGAUACCCUGGUAGUCCACGCCGUAAACGAUGUCAACUAGCCGUUGGAAUCCUUGAGAUUUUAGUGGCG
rnacentral:rRNA from 1 species